GGAGCUAUCCCCCGUGUUUCCCAGCACCACAAUGAAGAAUACCUGCUUCUCAGCUUGAAAACGUUGUUGGCGAGUUCCUGGAGAUUUCUCCAAAUCAAUCUGGCACCCCAGAUGGUACCCUCUCUGCUCAGCUCCAGGACCCGCUGAGGACAGGUCUCCCUAGGGCCCUCAGGAGUUUUUCCUGGAGGGACCCCUUGACUCAUUUGGAUCACUGCAGGAGCAGACAAGGACCAUCUUCAUAAAAGAAAUGCAAACAGGAGGACCUCCCUGAAAUAGAAGAAAUACUUAAUCAGGUAUAUCUGGGAGUAUGGGCAUCUGAAGUUCCAGGAUGUAAAAUAACAGGAGGACAAUCAGAACUUGGAGCAGCUCAGAAGGAAGCAAUAUGUCAAACACCGUGACCAUCCACAGUUAAAAGAUAUCUGGACAUUUCUGGGAAUGACAGGAUGCUGUCAACUCUGGAUCCAUGAUUAUGGUGCUCUGGGAAGACCCUUAUAUGAGCUGCUAAAAGAAAAUCCAACCUUUCUAAAAUGGACAGAUCAAGCUGAAGAAGCGUUUAAAAGUUUAAAGACAGAACUUAUGAGAGCUCCAGCUCUGGGGCUCCUGAACAUAACUAAACACUUUUGCCUAUAUUCCUAUGAAAAACAGCAAAUAGCCUUGGGGGUUUCGGCUCAAAGAUUGGGAUCUUAUAAAAGAGCAGUGGCCUAUUUUUCAAAACAACUGGAUGAACAAAGUGGAGGCUGCCCUGGAUACUUGUGAGCAGUGGCAGCAGUUAUCUUAAACAUCCAAGAGGCGCAAAAAUUUACACUGGCACAAAAGAUCACCCUGUUAGUAUCACGUGCAGUAUCAACAGUCCUAGAACAAAAAGGUACACAUUGGCUAUUGCCAUCACGUUUCUUGAAGUAUCAAGCCAUCCUAGUAGAACUGGAUGAUGUGGAAAUUGCGAUCACUAAUGUUGUGAAUCCAGCAUCUUUCCUUCAGGAAACCCCUACUGAACCAUUAACUCACAACUGCUUGGCCACUAUAGAGACAGUAUAUUCGAGCUGACCAGAUCUGAAGGAGGAGCCUCUGGAGGGUGCAGAUUCCUGGUUCACCGGUGGCAGCAGCUUUGUUAAAGAUGGUAAACGAAGAGCAGGAUAUGCCAUAACUACAACUUCAAAGGUAAUAGAAGCUAAACCAUUGCCCUCUAACACUUCAGCACAAAAGGCAGAAAUAAUAGCCCUGACAAGAGCCUUGGAGUUGGCAAAGGACAAGCAGAUAAACAUACGGACUGAUUCCAAAUAUGCCUUUGGUGUGGUUCAUGCACAUGGAGCAAUUUGGAAAGAACAAGGACUUUUUAAAUACCCAGGGAAGACAAAUUAAACAUGCAGCGGAAAUUCUAUGAUUGUUAGAAGCUGUACAAUUAGCCAAGGAAGUGGCUAUCAUACAUUGUAAAGGACAUCAAAGAGGUAACUCUGAUCAAGAGAUUAGAAAUAAUCUGGCUGAUCGUGAAGCUAAACGGGCAGCAGAAACAGAAAGAGUUGAGGUGAUGUCCUUAAUUCCUGACAGUAAACUGGUAAUUGAGCAAAAUAAACCUAGGUACUCUAAAGAAGAUAUGAAACUAAUUGAAGACUUGGAAGGACAGGAAAAUGAAAAGGGUUGGAUAAAAAUACCUAAUGG